rfam:Ovis aries breed Texel chromosome 7, whole genome shotgun sequence.
UAGCUUAGCUGGUAAAGAAUCUGCCUGCAAUGCAGGAAGACCCAGGUUCGAUUCCUGG